UCCGUAGGUGAACCUGCGGAAGGAUCAUUAGUGAACAUAGGACGUCCAACUUAACUUGGAGUCCGAACUCUCACUUUCUAACCCUGUGCAUUUGUUUGGGAUAGUAACUCUCGCAAGAGAGCGAACUCCUAUUCACUUAUAAACACAAAGUCUAUGAAUGUAUUUAAUUUUAUAACAAAAUAAAACUUUCAACAACGGAUCUCUUGGGUCUCGCAUCGAUGAAGAACGCAGCGAAAUGCGAUAAGUAAUGUGAAUUGCAGAAUUCAGUGAAUCAUCGAAUCUUUGAACGCACCUUGCGCUCCAUGGUAUUCCGUGGAGCAUGCCUGUUUGAGUGUCAUGAAUACUUCAACCCUCCUCUUUCUUAAUGAUUGAAGAGGUGUUUGGAUUCUGAGCGUUGCUGGGCUUACGGUCUAGCUCGUUCGUAAUGCAUUAGCAUCCGCAAUCGAACUUCGGAUUGACUUGGGGUAAUAGACUAUUCGCUGAGGAAUUCUAAUCUUCGGAUUAGAGCCGGGUUAGGUUAAAGGAAGCUUCUAAUCAGAAUGUCUACAUUUUAAGAUUAGAUCUCAAAUCAGGUAGGACUACCCGCUGAACUUAAGCAUAUCAAUAAGCGGAGGAAAAG
rnacentral:rRNA from 1 species